GGCGAGCAUAGGGGCGCCUGCUCCCCCUGCUCGCUCAGCAACACCGUGUUUAUUUCCACGUCGGCAGACAUUCCGCAAGCAAAGCCAGGAGCCGCCGCCACCUCCCCCGCUUUUUUUUCUCAUCAGACGCCAUGGGAAACAAACAGCUCAUCUUUUGAGGAACUUAAGGCCUGAGAGUGGGGUGCGAGUGUCCACACACUCGCGAGGGGCGGCGGCAAGUCAGUCUCGGCAGGUCACGUGGGGGAGCCGAGCCGGGCCUUCCGGAAGUGAGCUGGGCCUCGCCGCGGGGGUGGGGGGACCCCGGAAGUCUGGGCCCGCGCGCCUGCCCUCUGGAACCCCGAUUCCCACCGCCUCGCCGCGCGGCCGCACACACAGCCUCCGAAGACUGUGCCCGGAGAGCCCCGACUUUCUUUCCGUGGUUUCCGGGUCCCCAGAGAAUCAGUUCGAGACGAGCUGGGACGCACAAUAAAUCCAAGGUAGCUGAGAAGAAGGGAUUUUAAAUAAACGCUGUUGUGCGUCCAGCUUCACAGUGAAUCACAGACCUCAUUAUAAUACUGACGUUAAACAAAAUCUACAUUUGCCUCACACGUUACCAAAAGGGCGAAGCGUUAUCACUGCAUACCCGGAGGUGUGAUUCAGUCUGAACCGGAAUUGAAUCCCUGACAAGGGCUUGGGAGCUUCCUGGAGGGGAGACUUUGCUGGCGUCUAGAUAUGGCUUUUUAAAAAUACUUAAGCUUCCUGUCCGACGUUACAGAAAAAACAAUCAGGAAUCUUGAGCUCAAGAAGCCCCCAGAUCACGAAACGACCAUCCCACGACUGGGAACGUCUUCCACAUGGAGAACUCGAUCCUCUUUGGAAACAGGAAGCCACUGUUUGUUUGGCAAAAGUUCAUCACGUAAGAAACGUAUCGAAGCCAAAUGAAAUCUGCAACCCAACGCUGGUGUGUGGGCCCUCCCAUUGCAGGGAGCCCGCAGUGUGGGCUCACGUCCCGUUGAUCUGAGCUGUAAAACUAAAACUCCGCAGGGGCCGCAGGAGUCCGGGACCGUGAUGCCAUCGCCAAGCCAAACCUGAGGACAAGUGAGUAGUUGGUGGGAGACAUUCCUGCAGUUGCUGUAAAACAGUACUUCUCAACCUUUAUCAUUGACUCCCCACUGAGAUGUCUUUUCAGACAUUUCUUCUGAAAUGCCUUCUCCGGAGAAGUUCAAGUAUCACAAACACUGCUCACCUGUUUACGGACUACAUGUUUAUCUGUGCUUCAUACAUAAAAAAUAAUGUGGUUUUGGCUCCUUAAGAACCAAUUUUCAUCACCUUGUGGGGGGAGGGAUGAUAUCACCUAGGCUGAGAAAGCUCCAGACUGGAUGAACCCUUCCUGACUAUGAGAAGAGACCAAGGGGGAAAAGGCAUGAGUUUUAGUCCUGCCUCUGCCUUUCAGGCAAAUCACUUAAUCUUCUUAAGUCUCUGUUUUACUCAUCUGUAAAAUGAGGAUAAAAAUAUUCUCUCCCUCCUUGAGUUGUUGUGAGCAUUCCAUGAGGUCAUGAAUAUUCAUUGGGGAUUUGGGGCAUUCAGUAGGUGCUUUCUAAACGUGAGCUAGUUUCACUGUUUUCAUGAACUGGGAACAUUCUGGCAGCGCAGCCAGUUUUCGAAUCUCUCAUUUUCUGGAAGUUGCCAUUUCGGAUCUUUAACUUUAAGAAGGGGUUUUAUAACGUCUGGAGCAGCUACGUUUUUCAGGAUGAAGUUCCGGAUGAAAUCACUUCUCCGACAGGUACAGGGCGUCUUCCUCAUCCAGCUCGAGUCCUCUCUUCCGAUCCCUCGUGAAGGCGCUUCCGAGCGACGGGGCUGAGAUCACAGACGGCGUUUGCCUGGUACAAAAUACGCACAGUAAUAGGGUCUUAAUUAGAUGUACAUGUCUCUGAAGAUAUAAAUAAAUGCUUCCCUUUUUGAUAUGUCUGA